AGAUUGAACGCUGGCGGCAUGCUUUACACAUGCAAGUCGAACGGUAACAGGCCGCAAGGUGCUGACGAGUGGCGAACGGGUGAGUAAUGCAUCGGAACGUGCCCAGUCGUGGGGGAUAACGCAGCGAAAGCUGUGCUAAUACCGCAUACGAUCUAUGGAUGAAAGCGGGGGACCGAAAGGCCUCGCGCGAUUGGAGCGGCCGAUGUCAGAUUAGCUAGUUGGUGGGGUAAAGGCUCACCAAGGCGACGAUCUGUAGCUGGUUUGAGAGGACGACCAGCCACACUGGGACUGAGACACGGCCCAGACUCCUACGGGAGGCAGCA
rnacentral:rRNA from 1 species